UGGAAAUAAACUAUCUGGAAAUUGUUGUUAACCAGAAAGGAGUUUGUUACUGCUCGGAUUCUUCUGGUUGUGCUACAACGCUUCACCAUCGCCAUUUUGAAGCUCCAGGAGAGCCCAUUUUAUUGGUUACUUUGGUCAGGUUUUUUACUUGGGAGUACAGUUCAGUGAUGAUCCAGUCCAAAGAUGGCGAGCCACCCUUCCAGGAUCCUUGAGAUGAUUGCUCUAGGAAGAGAACUAAAUUCUUUGGACGAACUGUGAACUGUACAAACUCUACUUAAGUGGUAGGACAGAUUUACACGUCAUUCCUCCUUUGCACAUCCUGCAAAGAGAAUCCUCAUUGCUGGACUCACACUUAAGGGUGUCGGCUGACACGAGAGAGAGACUGAGUCAAAUCCCCCCGGGGUUGUGUGUGUUUUGUUUAUUAUUUUCCAUGACUUGGGCCCAAUUUUUCCUUUCAUGUACUGUUAUUGUUUUCAUUGUAUGUAUGUAAGAUUCUUUAAUUGUCAAUACAAAUUGAUCAAACCAAGUUCUCAGAGCGUUUCAUUAGUCAUCCACUCUGCUCCAGUAGUCGAACCUCAGCUAUUGGCCCAACACACAGGUAACCAUUUAAAUCUGUAUCCCAAGU